AGGGCUCAGGCAUUCCGAUUCCGAUGUAAUCACCUGCGCCUCAGUCAGAGCCGCAUCAAUUCCUGCUUUUACAGCUAAGGCUGCGGGGAAGUGCUGAGUCACCAGGACGUUCCUUCACAUUUUGUUUCUGAGGUCCGCCUGGAUCAAUGUUGCUCUGACUAAGCCUUUACAUCUGAAAACACAUCUCUAUUUCAGUUGGCCUAGCUGGAUGGAUUUGGUUCAUCUGUACACAGACCUGCCAUUUUCCUUUUAGCUAAAAUUAAUUUCAACCUUUCCUAUAAAGUCAUCCAAGCUACUCACAUACCUCAUUCAAUUACGAAAGAGCUUGAAGGGUAAAGAAUGUUGCCAAAAUGAAUAAAGACUUGGGCCUGUAGAGGAUUUCGAAAGCAGUAUUGGAGGUAUUAUUACCAGACACAGUGGAAAGGAUCUGAAAAGACUUUCUAGCAAUGAAACAAAUUCAUUGUAUAGAUGACAAAACAGAGGUCAAGAAGGAGGAACUGGCCCAACAACACAUGCAAAGGAAAUAAAAGAAGGCAAGGCAAAAAGUUAAAGGGCUCAAGAAGGAAGGAUGGCCUGACAGUCUUCCUCCACAAACCCCUAAUAUACAUUCAGUGCUAACCACCAUGUCACUAGGCACCCUGUCAAGAUUGGUUUAAAUCAAAGCCAGGUAACAGUCAACCCAGAUCAAGUAGCUUCUUGGCAGGACCAGCACCAUUUUUAAGAGGCCUGGGACUGAAGAAACUCUGCACAACUGAGACUGUUUUGAGGCCCUGCAUGUAUAAGACACUGAAUAACGAGACAGAAGAAAGCAAGAAUGAAGCAACGAAUAGCACAAUUUGAUGCUGACCUGAAUCGACGCAGUAAUCCCGAGGCUCCUGCUUGAUUCCCAUUGGUGACUGGAACCCGUGUGCUGGGGGCCCUGGCAUGGCUGGGACCCCAUGUUCAUAGAGUGGGUCAUGGUAUUCUUGUUUGAAUCCCUGAGGGGGCGGGGGAGCUGCAGGGACAAUAGGCUCUGACAUUUGCCGAUGGUAACUGGGGCGAUUAUCUCCAGGAACUCCUGGCUGAGGAGGGAAGGGGUGGCAGGGUUCAGACAGUUGUCUCUGAAAUCUGUAAGAAGAAAGAGGUUUUCGUGGUGAACAAAGACUUGAUGAAUACCUACUAUGAUUGAGCACUGGGGACUAGAAGAAGUUCCAAUUAAUGAAAUUAUUUGCAAGAUAUUUAAUAAUGCUUAUUUCUGGACAUUUUUACCUUCUUCCCAAAAUUACAUUGUGUAUUUCGAAGCUCUUGAGUCAGGAAGUGGCAAAAAAAAAAA